rnacentral:rRNA from 1 species
AUUGAACGCUGGCGGAAUGCUUUACACAUGCAAGUCGAGCGGCAGCGCGGCCUUCGGGCUGGCGGCGAGCGGCGAACGGGUGAGUAAUGCAUCGGAACAUGCCCAGUCGUGGGGGAUAACACUUCGAAAGAAGUGCUAAUACCGCCUACGUCCUGAGGGGGAAAGCGGGGGAUCGCAAGACCUCGCGCGAUUGGAGUGGCCGAUGUCAGAUUAGCUAGUUGGUGGGGUAAAGGCCUACCAAGGCGACGAUCUGUAGCUGGUCUGAGAGGAUGAUCAGCCACACUGGGACUGAGACACGGCCCAGACUCCUACGGGAGGCAGCAGUGGGGAAUUUUGGACAAUGGGGGCAACCCUGAUCCAGCCAUUCCGCGUGAGUGAAGAAGGCCUUCGGGUUGUAAAGCUCUUUCGGCAGGAACGAAACGGUGGGCUCUAACAUAGUCCGCUAAUGACGGUACCUGAAGAAGAAGCACCGGCUAACUACGUG